CCUUUUUUUUACAAAAACAUGUCUUAAUGUAAAAUUAUAUUAAGUCUGGCCUGCUCAAUGAUUAUUAAUAAUUAAAUAGCCGCAGUAUUUUGACUGUGCGAAGGUAGCAUAAUCAUUUGUCUUUUAAUUGGAGGCUUGUAUGAAUGGUUUAAUGAGAAAAUAACUUUCUUUAUAUUAAAAUUUGAAUUUAAUAUUUUAGUUAAAAAGCUAAAAUACUUGAAUGGGACGAGAAGACCCUGUAGAAUUUUAUUUUUAUUUUUAAUUAAAAUUAUAUUGUUAAUUAUUUAUUUAUUUAUUUAUAAAAAUUUUGUUGGGGUGACGUUGAGAUUUUUUUAACUCUCAUGAUAUAUUAUUUUAUUUAUAUGUAUAUUUAUUGAUCCUAUUUUAAGGAUAAUUAGAUUAAAUUACCUCAGGGAUAACAGCGUAAUUUUUCUGGAGAGUUCUUAUCAAUGGAAAAGUUUGCGACCUCGAUGUUGGAUUAAAAUUAGGUUUAAGUGCAGAAGCUUAAUAUCUAGGUCUGUUCGACCUUUAAAAUUUUACAUGAUCAAUUUCCAACCC
rnacentral:rRNA from 1 species